ACCGGUGUAGCGUAGAGGAUUAAGCGUUGCUGUCACCGUCUCAAGAUGAUCGAUUCUGGACUCAUGCGCCUUGUCGCGUACCCCUCCUAAGGGUAAGGUCAAAGGUUCGACUCCUUUCUCCGGUG
rfam:Nannochloropsis gaditana CCMP526 unplaced genomic scaffold scaffold298, whole genome shotgun sequence.